GCGGCUAAACCUAUUUAUCGG
ensembl:piRNA 21ur-12251 ncRNA